rnacentral:SRP_RNA from 1 species
UGUUGGUCCCCCCGCGACGAUACUUCGCAAACCCCGCCAGGUCCGGAAGGAAGCAACGGUAGUGGAGGAUUCGGGUGCCGGGGUGCGGCUGGCAGGG